rnacentral:rRNA from 1 species
GACGUAGGGAGCGAGCGUUGUCCGGAUUCAUUGGGCGUAAAGAGCGCGUAGGCGGCCGUGCAAGUCGGUUGUGAAAUCCCGGGGCUCAACCCCGGGACUGCGUCCGAUACUGCACGGCUCGAGGCAGGUAGGGGAGAGUGGAAUUCCCGGUGUAGCGGUGAAAUGCGCAGAUAUCGGGAGGAACACCGGUGGCGAAGGCGGCUCUCUGGACCUGUCCUGACGCUGAGGCGCGAAAGCUAGGGGAGCAAACGGG